UUGGUAUUAAAACUUUAAGAAUUUGUGCUGAAGAAUGUGUAAUUUCUGAUGGAUUUUUCUUAUCUUUAUGGUGUUUAAGAGCCACUGAAUUUGUUUCUAUUAAAAUAUACUCAUAAAAUUUUUGUGUUUUUAAAGAUCAUAUGGUUGAAAAUAUCAUCCAUUUGGGAAAAUCUUUUCUACUAUUUGUCUAGGUGUGUUUUUAAAAAACUCAUCUUCUAUAGUAAGGAUUAGUUGUUGUUGGGGUUUAUCAACAUAUUUUGAAAAGGAAG
rnacentral:lncRNA from 1 species